CUUAAUUUGUGCACGCAUGAAGGAAACAGUCGGCUGCUACAACAUGAAUGGAAGAAGGCCCAAACAGAAAUUUGUGGUACAAGAAACUUGCUUGAGAUAUUAUCGAAUCUAUGAUUUACCAGAAAAUGUAAAGUUAAUUUCGGAGGACGAGUAUCUAUGCAAGUAUUGCGCAUAGAAUACGUCCAUCUUCUUUAGCACAAAGGCUCCAUGGUUGGAAAAUCGGGCGUAGACAAAGUCCCCACGUCGAUGAAGUUCGGAGGGACAAAGAAAUAAGAAUGUUGUUUGGCUUGGCAUACGUCGAGAUCAGGCUCUUCGACGUCUUUCUUGACGCAUUUUAUCACCGAUUCGGCCACGUGACGUGAAGUUCGAAAACCUUGGUAUUCAAGUACAUUAUCCAAGGGACUAAAAAUUGUGACCUCAACACGAUAAGAGCAAUCAUGGGAGAGCUAGGCAAAGGAAACACAUAAAUGGCGACCAUAUAUGCAAGAGUAUUUUUUUUACUAAAUGACGUAGAUGUUGAGAAGACAUGUAAAUAGUGGUCAUGCAUUGCACUCUCCUUUCCUUCUGUUAAUCAUCUGUCAAGUUAACUGAAAACCUAUAUAUGAGAAUGGGAACAAUUGUUUCGCAUUAGAAGGUUAUAAGGA